AUGAAGACAAAAAGAGAGACGAGUAGAAUUUAUCAUUCUGUCAGUGAGUUGGGAUAAGUGGGAACCCAAUCAGACCCUGAUACUUUUGAAUAACACUUUCUUAGUUUCUAACUGAAAUAGCAUAGGCUAAAGUAGGCUUAGACGUGACCGGUACGUUACCAAUCGGAGGAGUAUGUUUGUACUCUUAUUGAGGUGGCUUAUUAAAUAUAGGCAACUUGGGUGGUACCGCGGAAAGUCUUUCGUCCCUUGU
rnacentral:ncRNA from 1 species